AACGAACGCUGGCGGCAGGCUUAACACAUGCAAGUCGAGCGCCCCGCAAGGGGAGCGGCAGACGGGUGAGUAACGCGUGGGAAUCUACCGAGCCCUGCGGAAUAGCUCCGGGAAACUGGAAUUAAUACCGCAUACGCCCUACGGGGGAAAGAUUUAUCGGGGUUUGAUGAGCCCGCGUUGGAUUAGCUAGUUGGGGGGGUAAUGGCCUACCAAGGCGACGAUCCAUAGCUGGUCUGAGGGGAUGAUCAGCCACAUUGGGACUGAGACACGGCCCAAACUCCUACGGGAGGCAGCAGUGGGGAAUAUUGGACAAUGGGCGCAAGCCUGAUCCAGCCAUGCCGCGUGAGUGAUGAAGGCCUUAGGGUUGUAAAGCUCUUUCACCGACGAAGAUAAUGACGGUAGUCGGAGAAGAAGCCCCGGCUAACUUCGUGCCAGCAGCCGCCGUAACAC
rnacentral:rRNA from 1 species